rnacentral:rRNA from 1 species
AGAGUUGAUCAUGGCUCAGAGUGAACGCUGGCGGUAGGCCUAACACAUGCAAGUCGAACGGCAGCACGAGAGAGCUUGCUCUUUUGGUGGCGAGUGGCGGACGGGUGAGGAAUACAUCGGAAUCUACCUUGUCGUGGGGGAUAACGUAGGGAAACUUACGCUAAUACCGCAUACGACCUACGGGUGAAAGCGGAGGACCUUCGGGCUUCGCGCGACUAGAUGAGCCGAUGUCGGAUUAGCUUGUUGGCGGGGUAAAAGCCCACCAAGGCGACGAUCCGUAGCUGGUCUGAGAGGAUGAUCAGCCACACUGGAACUGAGACACGGUCCAGACUCCUACGGGAGGCAGCAGUGGGGAAUAUUGGACAAUGGGCGCAAGCCUGAUCCAGCCAUACCGCGUGGGUGAAGAAGGCCUUCGGGUUGUAAAGCCCUUUUGUUGGGGAAGAAAAGCAGCUGGCUAAUACCCUGGCUGUCCUGACGGUACCCAAAGAAUAAGCACCGGCUAACUUCGUGCCAGCAGCCGCGGUAAUACGAAGGGUGCAAGCGUUACUCGGAAUUACUGGGCGUAAAGCGUGCGUAGG